GACGAACGCUGGCGGCGUGCCUAAUACAUGCAAGUAGAACGCUGAAGAGAGGAGCUUGCUCUUCUUGGAUGAGUUGCGAACGGGUGAGUAACGCGUAGGUAACCUGCCUGGUAGCGGGGGAUAACUAUUGGAAACGAUAGCUAAUACCGCAUAAAAUUGAUUAUUGCAUGAUAAUUAAUUGAAAGAUGCAACUGCAUCACUACCAGAUGGACCUGCGUUGUAUUAGCUAGUUGGUGAGGUAACGGCUCACCAAGGCGACGAUACAUAGCCGACCUGAGAGGGUGAUCGGCCACACUGGGACUGAGACACGGCCCAGACUCCUACGGGAGGCAGCAGUAGGGAAUCUUCGGCAAUGGGGGGAACCCUGACCGAGCAACGCCGCGUGAGUGAAGAAGGUUUUCGGGUCGUAAAGCUCUGUUGUAAGAGAAGAACGGGUGUGAGAGUGGAAAGUUCACACUGUGACGGUAUCUUACCAGAAAGGGACGGCUAACUACGUG
rnacentral:rRNA from 1 species